AUCCUGCCAAAGAGUGAACAUCACCAGCGUUUCCUUUUUAUUCUCCCCAUAAAAACAAACAAAAAAAAUAACUCUUGACUCAUUCAGUACCUAAAAAAUCCAUCGGUCAGUAAGGACAGAAGCAGUACAUUUCACCAUAAAUUUAUAUCUUUGUGAAGACAAAAGUUACCUUCACUGUUACAUCUGUCAUGAACAUAUUUGAAGCAGGAAGGAUGUUUACCCCUUUAAGAAAGAACGGUCAGAUUUUAAGGUGACAUAAGAAUAUUCAAGGAAAUCACAGUUGAAUUAUAUGUGGUGCUUGAAAGACACAAUAAAGUUAUUUUCACUAGAGGGCAAAAAUUAUCUUUAUAAGACAAAUGUCUUGGAAGAGAAGUGUUAGAAAAGUCAUUAAUUGAUGAUAUUCAAUAUCAUCUAUCAAUGGAGUAGUGAAACAGGCCUCUCUCAUGCUGCUGCGGUUUGAGUUGGAAAACAAGUGGGAGAUUCUUACCCAGAGUCCAAAACAGUAAGUCAGAUGUUUUGACCUUCAGAGAAAUCAAUCCUAAGGAAAUACUCAGAGAUACAAAGAUUUAUGCCCAAGAAUAUUCAUGAUAGUAUUAUUUAUAAUAAUGGAAAACAAUCUCAAUGCCCCAAAAGUAGGAAAACAGGUAAAUUAUAUUACCUCUAUAGGAUGGAAUAAUAUAAAAUCAUUAAAUUCAUGCUUUCAAAGAACAGUUAAUACUGUGAGGAAAUGUUCAUGUUAAAUGAGAAAAACAGUUGAGGUCAACCUACAUGUAAAAAUAUGCAUGUGUGUAAUAUACAUAGAUCUAUAAGCAUGUUUAAAUAUACAUAAAAUAUUUAUACACACCUCAAUUUUUCAAAGUGCAUAAAUAAAGACAGCUUUUUCUCCUCAUGUGUUCUACCACUCAUAUACUUCAGAAUCACCUGGGGGUGGUUUUUUUAAAAUGCAGAUUCUUGGGUUCCACCCCAGACCUACUGAAUUAGAGUCUUUGGAAUCAGAGCCCAAGGAUCUCUGGCUACCUAUGCACCCUUGUCCACCUAUGUACUACCUUGAGUUAUACUGACUCACAUCUCAGUUUGAGGAUCACUGGACCAAGGCGGUAGCUCUCUGGAUGGUGGAAUUAUGAGUAAUCAUCUUCUUUUCUUGAAUCUUUAAAAAAAAUUAACUACUGAGCAUAUGCUGCUUUUAUGUUUAAAAGUUUAUUAAAAGUAUAUUAAUGAGGCAUGGGUAUUUGAAAACAAAGAUGAUUUGGGGUAUAUUUGGGCAAGUCUAAAUACCUUUAGAGAAACAGAAAGUGCAUAUUUAUUUAAAAUAAGCAGGAACCUAUGAAUUCCUGACAAUUGGAAAGUCAGUUUAAGACAAAGAAAAUACUAUACUCUGUGUAGAUAUGGAACUUAUUACUUCAAUAAAUUGUCCAGGUAAAAAUUAUAAAUAUAAUACUUUUCAGAAGUAUUAAGAAACAGCAUUUCUCAGUGUUCCAAGAUGCUCCUUGGCAAAAGAGGAUUCAGUAAUCAAAUAAAUUUGGGGAACACCACAUAUUCUAAUUCCAUCUGGAGUCACAUAACCAUGAACAAAUUACAAGCUCUAGGAAAUCCAAUUUAAGAUUCACUCUUAAUUCUAGCUCCACAAAUUCUUAGAAUGUGUUCUACCAUUAAGAACAAAUUCUAGGCCAGAAGACAGUCCAAGAAAGAACUCUCACCAUGAACUGAUACCCUACACUUAAUCCAACAUAUCAAUUCGUUCCACAUCAUGUUCUCUGAGGGCUUAGCCCACACAUAUUAAUAGAGCCUGAUUCUAAGGGCUUGAGCUCAAGUCAGCUCUCAAGGAAUGCUCAGGAACAGCAAAAUGGAGUGGUAGGCUAUAAAAUCAGAAACACUUGAAGGAACUGCAUAUUUACUGAUAUUUACCUAUCAGUCUUCAGCACUUAGACAGUGAGCUUGAAAUUCUGUCUUAUAUUCAUUUAUGUACUCCCAACGCAGUGAAUGAGGUACCACCAAUCAUGCAGCUAAAAUUUUUGGACAAAUACAGUCAUAAAAUGGGCUAGGCACAGGUUCUAAACUUUAGGUCAUAAAUUUUGUGCAUUCAUGACAUCAAGGCCUCAUUUCAUUCAAUAAAUAUUUCUGAGUGCCUACUAUGGGUGGGUAUUUCCAAAAAUGCAGAGGUGACUAAGAUACAAUCUUUACCCACAAGAGCUCCAGGCAUUAGAGGUACUAGUACUAGCCAUUCCCUCUUGUACAGGUUUUGGCACACCGCUGGUAUCUAAUAAAUGCUUGUUUGAAUUGAGUUCAGAAGUCAAGAUACACUUUAGGUCUGGUCAACUUUGGUACUUGGCAGGCCGGGAGCCUAGAGCAGGGCUGAGUCAGACCACUCUGGAGACUGCUUCAGAAUGACUGAGAUAUUGAGUAACUAGACCCAUCUUGAUUAUCACUACUCUAGGGAUUCCAGACCCAACCAGGAGUCAAUUUUUACUAGAAAAGCUCCAGGACCCAAAGAAGUUUAAUAGUAUACACCAUGACAGUCUUUCUGAAUAAGUGUACAAUAAACUCAUAGGUUCUUGAGAUGUUAAUAGAUAGUAUACGGUGAAAUAUGACUCAGAAAGGGGUUCAAUAGAGUUGACAGGCCUCUGUACUUUAGGACUUUAUGCCCUGAAGCAAUGUGCUAUGCUCCUUUUAUACACUGUCUUAUUUAAGUUUUUCCCUGUCUUAUUUUUCAGUGACAAUUUCUCACUGUCUUAUUCUUAUUUUUCCCAUUUUUAGAGAUGAGCAGCUAAAGCUCAGAGAGUAAGUCAUCUGCUCCAGAGCACACAGGACCAUCAUGAGGCUCUGUUGUAGCCAUGCCAAGGAAGGUGGUAUGCUGGAGGAAUGAUGUACCCGGACACUGCUUUGGGAGAGGCGCUGAAGAACUCUCACACAUGAUGGCCUAGCAUGGAGGAGGUAUGAAGCCUUUGAUGGGCCCCAAGCCAAUCUUUGGAUGCUUGCUUCCGAGUGUGAUGAACCCAGUUUUAGGCCUGGGAGACAAGAAAAGAAGGUUUCUAUGACACUUCUAACUGCUCUGGUUAACAACAACUCGAUUGACGAGAAAGGAAAAAAAACACUUACCAAGAUCUUUCAGUUUCUGUGCAUUGAGUUUACCUGGGCGUUUCUUCUCCACAACUGAAAAUCCAAAGGAGGGUAUUCGAUGAAAGAGGCGAAAUGCUUUCACAACAAACUGUUCAUCAUCAACCAGGAGUUCUUCUGUAGGACACUGAUCCGCUGUAGGCACCAGCUCAUGGACCACAUAAGGGAAGACCAACUCCGUGUGAGAAAGUUCCAUGGUUUGCCAGAUGAAGUCCCGAAGCCCC